rnacentral:rRNA from 1 species
CCCUCAGUAACGGCGAGUGAACAGGGAAAAGCCCAGCACCGAAGCCUGUGGCCAAUUGGUUACUAGGCAAUGUGGUGUUCAGGUCGUUCCGCGAAGGUACUGCUCCAUUCCAAGUCCAGCAAUGAGUCCGGUAAUGUUGACAUGGCCCAAAGAGGGUGAAAGGCCCGUUGGGGUGGAGGUGCAGUAAUGCCGGUGCCUUCCUGGAUAGACCUUGGAGUCGGGUUGUUUGUGAAUGCAGCCCAAAGUGGGUGGUAAACUCCAUCCAAGGCUAAAUACUAACACGAGUCCGAUAGCGAACAAGUACCGUGAGGGAAAGUUGAAAAGUACUUUGAAGAGAGAGUAAACAGUGCGUGAAACCGCUCAGAGGUAAACGGGUGGAGUUGAACUGUGAACUCUGUGGAUUUAGCCGGUGAGUGUGGUUUGAGCUUGGUCAAAUUGGUUGAUACUUGGGGUCUGCGAAGUAGCAGGUCUCCGCCGUUUGGUGGAGAUGCGCGAUACACUUACCAAGUGUUGCGCGCUCCAUAGUUAUUCGGCCAGCUCGCCGGUGCACUUUCGCAGAGUGGUCACCACGACCGGCAUCGCUGUCUGGCUGUUGUGGUUAACCCGGCCGCGCAUUGCCCUUGUGGCUUUGUUUGGUCGGGAUGGCAGGUAGCUCGUUGGCUGGCUUGUGGCUUGCUGCAGGCAAUCAGUCCUCGGGUGUAAUUCGCUGACCACAUCGGUUCUGUGCAGUAUGUCGGAGACGGCGGCUUGUGGUGUGUGCGUGCGUACCAGUUGGCUGGCGUGUCCGGGUUUGGUUGUUAUUUUGCCUGUGUUCACAGGACUAAUGAUAGCUCGGAUUCGUUCGGUUGGCGGUUGCGUGCGUGUCACUUUUUCCAGGGCCAAUAGUCUGUGGUGUUGCGGUAGACUAUCCACCUGACCCGUCUUGAAACACGGACCAAGGAGAGUAACAUGUGCGCGAGUCAUUGGGCGUAACGAAACCCAAAGGCGAAGUGAAAGUAAAGGUCUGGCUUGUCUGGACUGAGGUGAGAUCCUGUCGUUUCUCAUGCGCGGUAUCACCAAGCAUCGAGCGGCAGGCGCAUCACCGGCCCGUCCCAUGGUGUGGUGACCCUUUCAUAGAGUUUGUCACCGGGGCGGAGCAUGAGCGUACAUGUUGAGACCCGAAAGAUGGUGAACUAUGCUUGCGCAGGUUGAAGCCAGAGGAAACUCUGGUGGAGGACCGCAGCGAUUCUGACGUGCAAAUCGAUCGUCAGACGUGAGUAUAGGGGCGAAAGACUAAUCGAACC